ensembl:lncRNA
UUUGAAUUUGAAUGGUAACAAUUCCGUUAAAUCCUCGUCCUCGUUUUGAUAGUCUCACUCAUGGCCGAUCAGUGUGUUCUUUCUGAUUAGCUCUUAAUUGAAAUCACCUGUCACGCACCCCUUUAUUAAAGGUGAACACAAUGUGUUUGGUUUACUUUUCGCCUCGGCCUGUGUCAAUCGAGGUUGAGUUUAGUGAGGGUUGAAAGUUUUCGAUCUAGAUUGCAGAUCACUAUUGUCACUUUAUACAAACUGAAAGUAUGCGUUGUUGCGUGUUUGUUUUUGUGGGCAUUUGACUGAACAGCCCAGACAAAUAUUGCUACCAACAUGGCACUUCGAAACAGACCACCGCAGUGUUAGAUGACUGACAAGAUCUAUGGGGGGGCCCCCUUUGGGCCCCCCCAUACCAACUUAGUCUUCAAAGGAAUCUAGUGCCAUGGGACUCCAGUCUCUUCAAAACAUCCUCGGAAUACAUGUGUAUGAAUGGUCCACCGAAGGGUUGAUCUGGAAGCCACCACGGUCCACGCAGUAAUCUGCUGCGUGGGCCGUAGUGGCUUCCAGAGUCAUCUUUCGGUCUUGGUCAGGAUUUGUUAGAGUUGCCCUUCAAUGUAGCAGGCUACGGGUUUCUGAAGAAGCCUGCUUUACGUAGCAUUGGAGAACAAAUAUUGUGCAAAAUGCUCAUGUAAUUGCACUAGCACUGGUAACCUGUAGAUUAGCUUAGUUUAACGUCAUUCGGUGCUGUCUGUCAAAUGUGAGGCUUACUUUAAGUCCACAAGGCCCUCUGGUAAACCACGUUGGAACACCCCUGGACAAGGUGAUUAGUCACUGGGUGUGUGCUAAAGUUUUGUUCCCUUUUUCACUAGUUGGUUAAGGUUUGGUAGAAUUGUUUGGAUGCUAGCGACGUGAUGGCGUAUGUACAAGAGCCUACCGUGGCCAGGCCACAGUUGCGACGGCCACUGCCAGAUGGCCUAGUGUGAGUGCAACCUUGAUUGCAUUUGUAUACUGUAUACCAUUGGAUGUUUAUGCAAUUUGGCUUAAUUCAUCCGCUGUAAAGCUGCAUUUGACUAUUCCAGGGUCGUUUUGUACAGGCUUUCAAUUGACCAUGUUGACUAGUUUGUGGCAAGUUUUUUUUUUUUCCUACCUUGCUUACAAUCCAACGGUUGCGACCACUUAUGCAACUGGGCUGUGAACCUUGCAAUUCUAGUUGCAUAUUUGUACACGAAACCUAAAAUAAAGCAAAAUGCGUGUCUGGUGUGCAAGAGCCAAUUUGUUGGCUUGCAGUAGUCGAGGAGUUGCCGUAGGUCGUAAGCCAUCUGGAGGUUGUGGCAAUGGAGGCUUGUGGUAGAUCUGCCAUCCAAGAAAGGAUAAUUCUUCUGAAGCAUGUGUUACGACCCAGGGUCGUAUGUGUAUUUUGCAGUGUUGUACGGAUUUCGUCUGUGCUGUGGUUCCUCCCAGCCUGAGGGUUGUGCUACCACCAUUGGUGUCUCUCCAGGUGCUGGCUGUCGAUUGGUGCAGGGGCUGGAGGAGCUACUAUAAAUGGCCGCCGCUGGAGACAAUCACUCUUCUCUUGACCCUGCUUCCAACUGCACCAGGUUUUAUUAUGUGGCAUUGUAUCGUAUUAUGUUAAAACUCUAGCCAGGGCCAGCAGCAUGGUUCCCAUUCCCAGGUUAAACGUUCCCGUUUAACCUUUAGCAACUAUAAACCCGGUUUUCUUAUAUUGAAUCCUUGUUUGUCGACUUCAUGUUACUUCCCUCGAGCCGGGUUGUAACGCAUGAUUAAUAGUUUAGUAAAUUGAAUCUAUUCAUAUAGAACUAUAAAAUCCAAGACUGCAGCCAGUAACUUGGAUCGCAAUAUGUGGAAAGUAUUGGUCUUCAUUUGUUACAACAGAAUAAUUAACAUGACUAACUGGGUUUCUUCCAUUUUCUAACUAGGGGGACUUGACUGGUGAGUCUACUGGAUUAAUCAGUAGCGGUACUUUGCCCAACAGAUUUGAUGGCAUGACUACAGGGUGACAAAGACAAUUAUUCCCUGCCUAUCAAAAGAGACUUCUAAAACAUAUCUGCUAGAACAGUUCCUAUACUUUUUGUAUAAUUUGGUCAUGCUGCAAAUUUACUUUUUGUAGUUGCUCCAUAUUUAGUUCUUUGACAGCCUCACCUGCUAGAAAAGUCUAUUCAAAUCGGCUAAAUAUAAUGAACUAAAUUAAUAGCCAUGAAAUGUUGUCACUCAUACUAAUGGCAAAUACCCCCUUUCAGUUGGUGGUUCAACACUGAUCUCUCUCUAGGCUUGAGGGAGAGCUCACAAGUAAAUUACACGAAUGUCCUGGAGCAAUUGGGAAUACACUUUUAUUUAGUCUACCUGACCAGGGACAUCUUUGAACUAUAGGUCACCUAACCCAAACUUUUCACUCUUGUUAGGUUGUCCUUUUCUCUUGUUUCAACCCGAAAGGGCUGAAAAUAUCAACAUUUCAGGUAUUCUGUUUGGAUAAUGUGCAAAACUUGUGGCUUCACUAAUAAAAAAAAUUAACGAAUGUAUUUUUCUUAAUGUGGUUAAACUAUUUAAAGAUUUGUAUGCAAAAUAUUUCUGCUCAAUUUGUGGUCAAUGAAACUCAAAUUUUUAAUUUUUAAAUUUGAUAAAACACAACUAUGGGUUAAAGGUAUUUGCUUUAGGCAUCUUUUGAUAUUUUUAUAAUCUAGCUCCAUUGCCGUUAGAAAUGGUGUCUCCCAGUACUGCAAAGUGCUUCCACAAGUUUAAAAAUGGGCAGAAAAGGAACUGCCAACUAAAUCUAUUUAACAUGGGUAGAAAGUUUCCAUGGAAGCUCUUGGCUGCUGGUUCCCAACACAGCUCCACUGUUAGCCUGUGACCUUGCGUUUAACUUUUUUGGACUUUUUGUGACUUUCACAAAAGAGAAAUGAACUGGUUAAUACAAUAAACAAGACAUUAGAAACUUCAGCUACAUUUUUAUCUAUUUGUACUGCCUUUGAUUUCAACCCGUGACAUGUAUGUCAGGUGAUAACUAUGUACCUGUGACCGCAUAUCAUGGUACCAUUUUGAACUGUUUGUUAUUGCAUUAAAUCCAUAUGCUUGAAACUUUUCAAUAAUGCAUAUCAACGAAACAAUGGAAUGAAAUAAAUAGUGCAAGCAA